UUGGUUUGCUUUUACAUUUAUGAAUUAAAAAGGGAUCUGGGAGUUAAUCUAAGGAAAAUUGCAAUUUUUCCUAAUUCUAGUAUACAUAAUAAUAUGCUCAAUUAUUAAGCAAGUAGUGACAGUCCAGUCUGUCCAGGGCAUGCGAAUUUGAAAACAACUGAAAUCCUACCAAGAUGGUUUAAAUUUAGCUGAAUCUUGCUUUUCCCCUGUUGUGUCCCACAGUACAUAAAAUCCUUGCUUUUAUCAGGGUUAUAAUUUCAGUUUGGUAAAUCAGUAUAAAGUGUACAGCAAUAUCUUUAUAAUGCCUUCCCAUCAGGGGUGACAUUUGAAAACCAUUUUCACCUGUAUUUGAUACUAGUCCUUUUCAUAAACAGAAUCUGAACACUUCACAAUUAAUUGUAAAGAGGAUGCCAUUUUAUAGAUCCUAGUUUUAUAAAGAAAUGUGUUUUGCCUUCAUCUCAUAGGGAACAAAAAACAAACCUAAAUACAUAAACCACAAAGUAAAGGCUUUAACUUGUGAUAAUACAUUUUUUUAAAAGACGAGGCUUGCCUUCUGAAAACACUGU
rnacentral:lncRNA from 1 species